UAACUACCCCACGAUAAGAAGGAUAUCGUAGUUCUCCAUUUGGACCAAGUCCCAUCGUGAUGCCAGUGAUUGUGGAACCCAUUAAAUGCGAGAAUGAAGACUUGAAGCUCUUGCAAAAUUCCUGGUAAACUUGGACUGCUGUCUUACCAUUAAGGACAGGAAGAUCAUCAACAGCCAAUGACAAGCACUCUCUGAAAUGAUGCCCUGACCUAUCGGCAAAGAAAAUACCAGUUUCUGAUUCACCAAUACGGGAUACCCACUCAGGGAGUGGGAUUUUAAGUUCUUCAUUAGCAUGGAAGCAGAGUGAGACAUGAAGCUUGAGACCUGCAUCCUGAACCAUCUCUGCAAGAGUAAGGUAGCCUUCCCACUUGUACUUGCCCAUCGCUUCC
rnacentral:misc_RNA from 1 species